UUCCUGGAGCCUGAUUUCUGGUUCUGAGCGGAAAGCCAUUGUCCCAGGCUCCACUCAGUCUAGUUGCAAGUGCAGAUCGGAGGCUAGGAAAGUCCCCUCAUCCACUUCGCACAGAGGAAUUGAUUCUCGGAACCAGAGGAGAAAGGCAGGAGGCAAAACACAGAAGGCAGGGAGACCCCUUCACCCCGGCCUUCCUGCUUCCUGCGCCAGCCUGGCCACACCCUCCUCCCAGCCCAGCCCCAACACCGCACUUUCUCCGGGUCCUGUCGUUCUUCUGUGUGCACCUCGUACUCCAGCCAAAGGAAAGUUCCUCCUGUUUCCAGAACGUUCGCAUGCUUUCCUGCAGCAGGUCUUGUUCACGCCUGUUCCUCUGCCUAAGAAGCCACCACCCAGGACUUUGCAAUGAAGGUUUUGAUUUCGUCUGAGAUUGCCCCCAGCCCCCCUGCCUGGGGCCCUGCCCUGCUCCUGCUGGCUGACAUCGCUGGCCACUGCUCCCUGAGCUGGGUCAGUGCACAGCCUGGAGUGAUUCCUGAUGACGCUGGGAAAUGGACCUAUGACCCCUGCUUGUGAAGGGUCAGUGAACUUUCUGGUGGUGCACAGGGUGUCAGAACAGUGUCAGCAGGGCCAGCGGGGGAAAGUGCUGACAACUGUAGGCCCAGGCAGGACCGGCUCCUCCCUCGGAAGACUGCAAGCAGUGAUAGCCAUCUGUCCUUAUCUCCGCCCCUCCAGCUCCCACAGCCAUCCAGCUGACUUCCAAUAGACAAAUGGAAGUCAAGGGUGUCUGAAAUUAACCAGUCAUCUUCUCCAGGCCAUUUUCUCAUGGAAAGGGAUUAACCUAAAGAAGGAUGUGUGUUUUCUGGAAGGAUAAUAAAUCUCUGCUCCUCUUGGGUUUUUCCUCCA